GAUGAACGCUGACAGCAUGCUUAACACAUGCAAGUCAACCUGUGGCGGACUUGUGAGUAACGCGUAAAGAACUUGCCUCACUGUUAGGGACAACAUUUGGAAACGAAUGCUAAUCCCUGAUACUGUGAGACAGCUUUGCGUCCCAUUAGCUAGUGGGAGAGGUAACGGCGCAGCAAGGCGAUGAUGGGUAGCCGGCCUGGAAGGGUGAUCGGGCAAAAGGGGACUGAGACACGGGCCUUAGUCCUACGGGAGGCAGGAGUGGGGAAGAUAGGGCGAUGGGCCAAAGUCUGAGCCAGGAAUUCUGUGUGCACGAUGAAGUUUUCGGGAUGUAAAGAGCAUUGAGUAGGGAAGCGGUACCAGCAGAAGAAGUGACGGCUAAAUACGUGCCAGCAGCCGCGGUAAUAC
rnacentral:rRNA from 1 species